rnacentral:rRNA from 1 species
GACGUAGGGUGCAAACGUUGCUCGGAAUUAUUGGGCGUAAAGCGCACGUAGGCGGCUUUGCAAGUCGGAUGUGAAAUCCCUCGGCUUAACCAAGGAAGUGCAUCCGAAACUGCAAGGCUUGAGUACUUAAGAGGAUCGCGGAAUUCCCGGUGUAGAGGUGAAAUUCGUAGAUAUCGGGAGGAACACCAGUGGCGAAGGCGGCGACCUGGGAAGAUACUGACGCUGAGGUGCGAAAGCGUGGGGAGCAAACAGG